CCGUUAGAUCACCGAAGUCAAGCAUCAUUGGGCGCGGUCAGUACUUGGUGGGUGACAACCUGGGAACAUCGCGUGCCGUU